rnacentral:misc_RNA from 1 species
AAGUCGUAACAAGGUUUCCGUAGGUGAACCUGCGGAAGGAUCAUUAUUGAAUUUAAUGUAGAGUUGGUUGUAGCUGGCCUAAUUAAUAUUUGGGCAUGUGCACACCUUCUCUUUCAUCCACACACACCUGUGCACCUGUGAGACAGAGUGGGAAUUUUAAUUUAAUUUAAUUGGACCCUCUGUCUACUUAAUUCACACAAACUCUAUUUAUUAUAAAAUGAAUGUAAUUGAUGUAACGCAUCUAAUACUAAGUUUCAACAACGGAUCUCUUGGCUCUC